rnacentral:lncRNA from 1 species
UCAUAUCACUUGACAAGACAUAAACAGCAUGUCCUCAAACUUCAAGAAAGGUAAAUAACAAUAGUGAUAAUAUUAUUUAGAGGAAGGUGUUUACAACUCAUCUCGGAUGAAAAUGUUCUGCUCAGAUGUAAAGCAAACUCCGCUUAAGCAAUAUUGCGUUUCUUCGUACCAACUCAUUUUAGUUUCGUGGUAAAAACAGAUUGCAUAAAAAGAGAUACAAUACGUGCUAGCACUGUGUGCGUAUUACAACACCAUGUAAGAAAUCACUACCAUCUUGAAUCUCAUAUACAUCCCUCAGUCUGUCUGGCAUGCUUUUGUUAUCUGAAAUUAUUUAUGCCUCUACACAUUAGUCAAUUGCAUCUCCACAUCUUAGCUCUUUUCAAUCAGCUAGAGUGUCUUCCUUUCCGAAAAUUUGUGAAUUUUUUUUAGUGGAUGUCUUUAAUUUAAUUUGUCUCUAUCUGGGAAAGAGGCAACUCAAGACAAUAAACAAAGGUUCUGGUAGAACUGAACACAUAUGUAAUAAAAGUUGAAUCCAUUGAUGGCACGCGUUGCCACCCAACCAUUUCUCCAUUAAAAUGAUAGGAGUUACUUUAAUAUUUUGCAAAAUGAUUAAACAUAAGAUCAUAAGCUAACAACAGGUUAGACAUUAAACAAAAUAAGGUUGUAACAAAUGUGUGCCAGUUUGGUUUCAUCUACACAUCACAUAAAUAUGGAUCACUAUAUGAAACAAAAGUGAGCUUGGAUUGCUCAUGGGUAGCUAGAGCAUGUGUAAAAUCUGAAAUGAACCAAUAGCCCAUAUCACAACCUGAGAUGCAAGCUCAAUAAAAAAAUACUUUCAUAAUGCUUGACAUAUGGAAGACUAAAGUUACCACAACCUUGGACAUUAUUGCCUUAGAUUACCUCAGCCAACAUGCUAUUCAUCACAAUAAUAUACCUACAUGCUUGCAUUAAAAUGACACCACUAUUUCUAUUUUUUUCAUUACUUUUUCAUUUAAAUGAAUCACAAACCAGGCAACUUGCUCAAGGUGUCAAAAUGUAUCAUGCCUGAUCUGACACCAUAUAUUCUCACAAACCAAGCAACCAACUCAAGGUCCUAAAAUGUGAGAACCUUAAUCACCCAGGUUGCAUCAUGCCUAAUCGAGUAUGAUCUCCAAGGAGUAUAUUUUGUCUAGACAAAAUUCACAAACAAGAUCUGAAUGAAUAAUAAUAGUUUGCACUACAUCGAGAAACAUGAGCUUACCCCAGAUGGCGUGCAAAUAUGAUGGUUGCAUAAUCUGCCUCAAUGGGUGAAACAGAAAAAACAAAAAAAGCCGUAAGGCGUGGGGAAUGGAUAGGUUAUUGAUUAGAAACAAAUUAUUUUUUGAUAGAACAAAGUAAUAUGUGUGCAUAAUGCAAAAUAGUAUACAUGUUAGUAAUCACAAAUAUCAUGAUAUCAGUCCAACAAGUGCCCACUAUUAGGAUAUUAAUUAUUAAACAUGCAAACCAACAAAAGAAUGUGUUAAAUUCCUGAAUAGGAGCAUUCAAAGAACAAUGAAGCACCAAUAAGCAAUUUUUUUGGUCUAGAGUACGCUAGUUACAGAACAUGCCUUAUUCAGUCAUUCAGAGUUAUAAUGCUCUUCAAGUCCGCUAUUGGUGGAUUCAAAAGGAAUGACACAAAGCUUUACGUCAUAUACAUACUAUUGCGUGCUAUUAAGAACUUUUAAAUCUUCUCGAAGAUGAUAAUUGAGAUUUAUUUUUACCUAAAAUACAGUAUUAGCAUAUGUCACCUUCUAGAAAAUAGGUAUUUUAGCCGUUGGCUUUCAAAUAAUGUUUACUGUGUCCACAAAAAAGGAGUUCUUUUCUAUCAAUCAUUUGCAAUGGAAUUACUACAAAGAAUAUUGUUCACUGAUGGAUCCCUUAAUUUGAGGUUCCUCAAGAACAAAUAAUUCAACAAAUCAGUGUAGCUUUUCUAUACUUGUGCUUCUCAGCAGAUAUAAGUGACCUCUCCUUUUUCUACAUUGUGUGUUCGUUCUUGCAUACAUGCAAUACUCCAUCUGCUAUUGCUAGAACAAUUCAAUAACUAAUUAUUCAAAAGAGAAUAAGAGCACACCAGGCAGAGGACUACUUUCCCAAUGAAGAGAAGGAGCAAAUUUACGGGAGUAACGUGGUUGCCUUGAAGCUGCUCCACUUGCCCACAAGAAAGCCCGGUGAUGUAGAUGUCCCGAAUUUACUAUUAUGCGAGAAUGUUUCUAAAUUAUAGUAUUACUGAAGCUGGAUGCAGAUAAUUAUCAACCAAACUGAUUAUCAUCAGUAUUACUGAAGCUGGAUGCAGAUAAUUAUCAACCAAACUGAUUAUCAUCGAAACAAUCUAAAUCGACCACCCAAACCCUAGCCCAGCGCUCACCUCGUCGUCGUUGGUGGACUCCGGCUCCUUCUCAUCUCCUUCCCCGCCUGCAGCGGCAGCACAGCCGUCAGCCUGUUCGUCAGCGCCCGCACCGGUUGUGAUGGCCUCAAUCUCCUCCUCGUCCACCUCCCCAUCCACCUCGCCCUUUUCCCAUCCUCGCCAGACGGAUCCGCCGGCGUCGGACAGGUCAUUUGCUCCUCGAAGGAGGAGGAGCAGGCCGCCUCGUUGUCUUUGUCGUCAUCGUACCUCGUCAUCUUCGCCAUUGGGACCGGGGUUAGGAUUUCUGGAGGCGAUGUGGAUUCGAAGUACCGAGCGAUUUGGAGGAGAAAGGGUGGAAGCAGAGGGUACUACGACGGCGAUGGCGAGAUCAAAACGGUGCGGCGGCGGCGCGUUCUGUCUAGGUCAAACGAAGAGGAGAGCUCGACAGGCGAAAGGGCCCUCUUUGUCGACCGAACUAUAUUUUUUUCGCGAGGGACGCCAAUCGAUCUCGAUCACUUUUAGCGAAGCCCAGGUCUGGACCUCUUUAGCGAAGCG